rnacentral:rRNA from 1 species
UUAUUUGAAACAGAACACAACCUCCAACACCGGGUUAAUAUAGGUCAUUAAAAUCAAGUGGGCCUAAAAGCAGCCACCUUACAGAAAGCGUUAAAGCUCAACUAUUCACCUACCUUAAAUUUCAAAAUCUAUUUUCAACCCUUCAUUACUACUGAACUAUUUUAUAUUAUUAUAAAAAAAAUUAUGCUAGAACUAGUAACAAGAAUUAGCCAUUCUCCAAAAUGUAAGCUUAAGCCAAAAUGGACACCCCGUUGGCAAUUAACGCAAAUGUAAUUAUUAUAGCAACACACACUAGUAAACCCUAUAACAACCAGCGUCAACCUAACACCAGAACAUCUCAGGAAAGAUUAAAAGAGAAAGAAGGAACUCGGCAAAUCUCAGCCCCGCCUGUUUACCAAAAACAUCGCCUCUUGUUCAAAUAUAAGAGGUCCAGCCUGCCCAGUGAUAUAAUUCAACGGCCGCGGUACCCUAACCGUGCGAAGGUAGCAUAAUCACUUGUUCUUUAAAUAAGGACUUGUAUCAACGGCAUCACGAGGACUGUACUGUCUCCUUUCUCCAAUCAGUGAAACUGAUCUCCCCGUGAAGAAGCGGGGAUUAACCU